rnacentral:tRNA from 3 species
GGGCUCGUGGUCUAGCUGGUUAUGACGUCGCCUUCACACGGCGGAGGUCCUGAGUUCGAAUCUCAGCGAGCCCA